rnacentral:rRNA from 1 species
AUUGAACGCUGGCGGCAUGCCUUACACAUGCAAGUCGAACGGCAGCGCGGGGCAACCUGGCGGCGAGUGGCGAACGGGUGAGUAAUAUAUCGGAACAUACCCUAGAGUGGGGGAUAACGUAGCGAAAGUUACGCUAAUACCGCAUACGCACUAAGGUGGAAAGUGGGGGAUCUUCGGACCUCAUGCUCAUGGAGUGGCCGAUAUCUGAUUAGCUAGUUGGUGAGGUAAAAGGCUCACCAAGGCGACGAUCAGUAGCUGGUUUGAGAGAACGACCAGCCACACUGGAACUGAGACACGGUCCAGACUCCUACGGGAGCAGCAGUGGGGAAUUUUGGACAAUGGGGGCAACCCUGAUCCAGCAAUGCCGCGUGAGUGAAGAAGGCCUUCGCGUUGUAAAGCUCUUUGUCAGGGAAGAAACGGUGAGUUCUAAUAAAGCUUGCUAAUGACGGUACCUGAAGAAUAAGCACCGGCUAACUACGUGCCAGCAG